rnacentral:rRNA from 1 species
UACGAAGGGGGCUAGCGUUGCUCGGAAUUACUGGGCGUAAAGGGCGCGUAGGCGGAUGUUUAAGUCAGAGGUGAAAGCCCAGGGCUCAACCUUGGAACUGCCUUUGAUACUGGGCAUCUUGAGUAUGGGAGAGGUGAGUGGAACGUCCGAGUGUAGAGGUGAAAUUCGUAGAUAUUCGGAAGAACACCAGUGGCGAAGGCGACUCACUGGCCCAUUACUGACGCUGAGGCGCGAAAGCGUGGGGAGCAAACAGG